rnacentral:rRNA from 1 species
UAGGGAAUCUUCGGCAAUGGACGAAAGUCUGACCGAGCAACGCCGCGUGAGUGAAGAAGGUUUUCGGAUCGUAAAACUCUGUUGUUAGAGAAGAACAAGGACGUUAGUAACUGAACGUCCCCUGACGGUAUCUAACCAGAAAGCCACGGCUAACUACGUGCCAGCAGCCGCGGUAAUACGUAGGUGGCAAGCGUUGUCCGGAUUUAUUGGGCGUAAAGCGAGCGCAGGCGGUUUCUUAAGUCUGAUGUGAAAGCCCCCGGCUCAACCGGGGAGGGUCAUUGGAAGCUGGGAGACUUGAGUGCAGAAGAGGAGAGUGGAAUUCCAUGUGUAGCGGUGAAAUGCGUAGAUAUAUGGAGGAACACCAGUGGCGAAGGCGGCUCUCUGGUCUGUAACUGACGCUGAGGCUCGAAAGCGUGGGGAGCAAACAG